CUUAACACAUGCAAGUCGAGGGGCAGCAUGGUCUUAGCUUGCUAAGACUGAUGGCGACCGGCGCACGGGUGAGUAACACGUAUCCAACCUGCCGUCUACUCUUGGACAGCCUUCUGAAAGGAAGAUUAAUACAAGAUGGCAUCAUGAGUCCGCAUGUUCACAUGAUUAAAGGUAUUCCGGUAGACGAUGGGGAUGCGUUCCAUUAGAUAGUAGGCGGGGUAACGGCCCACCUAGUCUUCGAUGGAUAGGGGUUCUGAGAGGAAGGUCCCCCACAUUGGAACUGAGACACGGUCCAAACUCCUACGGGAGGCAGCAGUGAGGAAUAUUGGUCAAUGGGCGAGAGCCUGAACCAGCCAAGUAGCGUGAAGGAUGACUGCCCUAUGGGUUGUAAACUUCUUUUAUAAAGGAAUAAAGUCGGGUAUGGAUACCCGUUUGCAUGUACUUUAUGAAUAAGGAUCGGCUAACUCCGUGCCAGCAGCCGCGGUAAUACGGAGGAUCCGAGCGUUAUCCGGAUUUAUUGGGUUUAAAGGGAGCGUAGAUGGAUGUUUAAGUCAGUUGUGAAAGUUUGCGGCUCAACCGUAAAAUUGCAGUUGAUACUGGAUAUCUUGAGUGCAGUUGAGGCAGGCGGAAUUCGUGGUGUAGCGGUGAAAUGCUUAGAUAUCACGAAGAACUCCGAUUGCGAAGG
rnacentral:rRNA from 1 species